rnacentral:rRNA from 1 species
UUAAGCGACUAAGCGUACACGGUGGAUGCCCUGGCAGUCAGAGGCGAUGAAGGACGUGCUAAUCUGCGAUAAGCGUCGGUAAGGUGAUAUGAACCGUUAUAACCGGCGAUUUCCGAAUGGGGAAACCCAGUGUGUUUCGACACACUAUCAUUAACUGAAUCCAUAGGUUAAUGAGGCGAACCGGGGGAACUGAAACAUCUAAGUACCCCGAGGAAAAGAAAUCAACCGAGAUUCCCCCAGUAGCGGCGAGCGAACGGGGAGGAGCCCAGAGCCUGAAUCAGUGUGUGUGUUAGUGGAAGCGUCUGGAAAGGCGCGCGAUACAGGGUGAUAGCCCCGUACACAAAAAUGCACAUACUGUGAGCUCGAUGAGUAGGGCGGGACACGUGGUAUCCUGUCUGAAUAUGGGGGGACCAUCCUCCAAGGCUAAAUACUCCUGACUGACCGAUAGUGAACCAGUACCGUGAGGGAAAGGCGAAAAGAACCCCGGCGAGGGGAGUGAAAAAGAACCUGAAACCGUGUACGUACAAGCAGUGGGAGCCUCUUUAUGGGGUGACUGCGUACCUUUUGUAUAAUGGGUCAGCGACUUAUAUUCUGUAGCAAGGUUAACCGAAUAGGGGAGCCGAAGGGAAACCGAGUCUUAACUGGGCGUUAAGUUGCAGGGUAUAGACCCGAAACCCGGUGAUCUAGCCAUGGGCAGGUUGAAGGUUGGGUAACACUAACUGGAGGACCGAACCGACUAAUGUUGAAAAAUUAGCGGAUGACUUGUGGCUGGGGGUGAAAGGCCAAUCAAACCGGGAGAUAGCUGGUUCUCCCCGAAAGCUAUUUAGGUAGCGCCUCGUGAAUUCAUCUCCGGGGGUAGAGCACUGUUUCGGCAAGGGGGUCAUCCUGACUUACCAACCCGAUGCAAACUGCGAAUACCGGAGAAUGUUAUCACGGGAGACACACGGCGGGUGCUAACGUCCGUCGUGAAGAGGGAAACAACCCAGACCGCCAGCUAAGGUCCCAAAGUCAUGGUUAAGUGGGAAACGAUGUGGGAAGGCCCAGACAGCCAGGAUGUUGGCUUAGAAGCAGCCAUCAUUUAAAGAAAGCGUAAUAGCUCACUGGUCGAGUCGGCCUGCGCGGAAGAUGUAACGGGGCUAAACCAUGCACCGAAGCUGCGGCAGCGACACUGUGUGUUGUUGGGUAGGGGAGCGUUCUGUAAGCCUGUGAAGGUGUACUGUGAGGUAUGCUGGAGGUAUCAGAAGUGCGAAUGCUGACAUAAGUAACGAUAAAGCGGGUGAAAAGCCCGCUCGCCGGAAGACUAAGGGUUCCUGUCCAACGUUAAUCGGGGCAGGGUGAGUCGACCCCUAAGGCGAGGCCGAAAGGCGUAGUCGAUGGGAAACAGGUUAAUAUUCCUGUACUUGGUGUUACUGCGAAGGGGGGACGGAGAAGGCUAUGUUGGCCGGGCGACGGUUGUCCCGGUUUAAGCGUGUAGGCUGGUUUUCCAGGCAAAUCCGGAAAAUCAAGGCUGAGGCGUGAUGACGAGGCACUACGGUGCUGAAGCAACAAAUGCCCUGCUUCCAGGAAAAGCCUCUAAGCAUCAGGUAACAUCAAAUCGUACCCCAAACCGACACAGGUGGUCAGGUAGAGAAUACCAAGGCGCUUGAGAGAACUCGGGUGAAGGAACUAGGCAAAAUGGUGCCGUAACUUCGGGAGAAGGCACGCUGAUAUGUAGGUGAAGCGACUUGCUCGUGGAGCUGAAAUCAGUCGAAGAUACCAGCUGGCUGCAACUGUUUAUUAAAAACACAGCACUGUGCAAACACGAAAGUGGACGUAUACGGUGUGACGCCUGCCCGGUGCCGGAAGGUUAAUUGAUGGGGUCAGCGCAAGCGAAGCUCUUGAUCGAAGCCCCGGUAAACGGCGGCCGUAACUAUAACGGUCCUAAGGUAGCGAAAUUCCUUGUCGGGUAAGUUCCGACCUGCACGAAUGGCGUAAUGAUGGCCAGGCUGUCUCCACCCGAGACUCAGUGAAAUUGAACUCGCUGUGAAGAUGCAGUGUACCCGCGGCAAGACGGAAAGACCCCGUGAACCUUUACUAUAGCUUGACACUGAACAUUGAGCCUUGAUGUGUAGGAUAGGUGGGAGGCUUUGAAGUGUGGACGCCAGUCUGCAUGGAGCCGACCUUGAAAUACCACCCUUUAAUGUUUGAUGUUCUAACGUGGACCCGUGAUCCGGGUUGCGGACAGUGUCUGGUGGGUAGUUUGACUGGGGCGGUCUCCUCCUAAAGAGUAACGGAGGAGCACGAAGGUUGGCUAAUCCUGGUCGGACAUCAGGAGGUUAGUGCAAUGGCAUAAGCCAGCUUGACUGCGAGCGUGACGGCGCGAGCAGGUGCGAAAGCAGGUCAUAGUGAUCCGGUGGUUCUGAAUGGAAGGGCCAUCGCUCAACGGAUAAAAGGUACUCCGGGGAUAACAGGCUGAUACCGCCCAAGAGUUCAUAUCGACGGCGGUGUUUGGCACCUCGAUGUCGGCUCAUCACAUCCUGGGGCUGAAGUAGGUCCCAAGGGUAUGGCUGUUCGCCAUUUAAAGUGGUACGCGAGCUGGGUUUAGAACGUCGUGAGACAGUUCGGUCCCUAUCUGCCGUGGGCGCUGGAGAACUGAGGGGGGCUGCUCCUAGUACGAGAGGACCGGAGUGGACGCAUCACUGGUGUUCGGGUUGUCAUGCCAAUGGCACUGCCCGGUAGCUAAAUGCGGAAGAGAUAAGUGCUGAAAGCAUCUAAGCACGAAACUUGCCCCGAGAUGAGUUCUCCCUGACCCUUUAAGGGUCCUGAAGGAACGUUGAAGACGACGACGUUGAUAGGCCGGGUGUGUAAGCGCAGCGAUGCGUUGAGCUAACCGGUACUAAUGAACCGUGAGGCUUAACCUU